AUGUGAAUUUGUCCAUCCUUCUACUCUUUUUCCUGUAGGUCAACCUCUUCUCAAUCCCUCCAUGCCAUCCUUUUCCAUGGAUCUUCCAACUUGAAUAGAAACUCUGCACUAAAUUCCUGAGCUUUAAGGAAGGUAUUCUCAGCAUCUACAAGAUAGGAAACAUCUCUUCAUCAGAGAAGAGAGAAUACCAGAAGCUCAUAAGCCAUAUUAAAAACCACAGAAGCCAGAAAAAGCAAAAAUCCUUAACUGAGUGGCCUUUCAGCUUCUGCCUCCAACACUGA
rnacentral:lncRNA from 1 species